AUGUGGUGGUGCUGGCGCUCAAGUUGCUCACAGACCCUGGGAGAGACUAAUUUGUGCAAACCACUGGCAGCUCUGGGCAGAAUGAAGUCGACAGACCUGGACCUGGAGAGCCUCGGACAAGUGAAAUGGCAGAGACUGGCUAUUGUGCCUUUGGAGGGGAUUACUUUGAAUGGUCUGGAAAAGCUGAGAGGACACCAGGUCUGAUCCCUGUCCCCAGCCUACACUGUGAUGUCAUGGUUGGUAUAUUCUUAGUUAUCUCUUUCUUCCCUGGGACUCAUAGCCUACUUUUGCUCCCUUUUAAGUUAAAAACUAAACCUUAAUUAUACAGAGAGAAUCACUAGAUGGGACAUGAUUCGCCAAGAAAGUGGUGGGGGGGAGGGAGGGUGAUAACAACACAUUGACCAUCGAUAAAUCAGCUCCCAGGCUGUCCUGUCCUGUGACCUAUGUAAUGGGUAUUCUCUAGACCCUCAGCUAGGCAGAAAGCUCUUCAAGACUUGGGAUUUUUUCUUUCUUCCCUGCCCAGUCCCUGUCCCACUUCUCUCACACUUGGUACUAUUAAGCUCUUAAUAAUAACAAUGACAAACACUGGGCACCUGCUCUGUGCAGUCCAGGUGUUGAAGUUUCAUUCUGGUCGACACAGGCUGGGCCCCUGAAGACCUCUGUCUUCUCAGCUCCAACACUUCCCUCUCUGGGAUCCGACCACACCAGCCUUUUUUCCGUUUCUUGAACCCACUGAACC
rnacentral:lncRNA from 1 species